rnacentral:rRNA from 1 species
GAUCCUGGCUCAGGACGAACGCUGGCGGCGUGCCUAAUACAUGCAAGUAGAACGCUGAAAGAGGAGCUUGCUUCUCCGGAUGAGUUGCGAACGGGUGAGUAACGCGUAGGUAACCUGCCUGGUAGCGGGGGAUAACUAUUGGAAACGAUAGCUAAUACCGCAUAAGAGUAGAUGUUGCAUGACAUUUGCUUAAAAGGUGCAAUUGCAUCACUACCAGAUGGACCUGCGUUG